rnacentral:rRNA from 1 species
AUGGAGGUGGUUGACAAGAUUGCCGAGCCAGAGGGCCCUUCGGUGGCCACUGCUCAGCAGCCAAAUAAUUUAGAGUUGCCAGCAUCAGCAGUGAUAGAUGCAGCUAGGGAAGGGGAGGGCACAGAGCAGCCCGAUGAGAAGGACCCGUCGGCAGAAUUCGGGGAGAGCUUCCGGUUCCGGGGCGAGGAAUCGUCGGAUGAGGGUGGCCAAAGUUCGUUCUCCGGGGCGAGCCACCCGCCGGAGCCAAUUGAUGUGGAUCUUAUGAGCACCGUGUAUGUUUCGGUUGACGAGGAGAAGCCCGGGCCACCGGGGUGCUUGCUGCGAGGCCCGUCAGCCAAAGCACCGUCCAUGGAAGAAAUCGCUGUCCAUGCGACGGAUGUGAAGAACCCCAAUGCGGUUGGUUUGGUUGAAGAGAUGAAGGUGCCCGGUGCCCCUGUUCCAGAGCCUCCUGGCGAGGCCGCGCCCUCAACUCGGCCGUCGUCGGAGAAGGAUCGCGUGUGUGGUGCAUCCCUCCCUCCCGGUGGCAAUGGCAGUCCUCACAGCGGCAGUGACAGCGCCGGUGUCCUCGCUGCCACAAGCAUCAGGCACAGCUGCACAAGCACAAGCAGAACCGGAUCCAUUGCCAGUGAGCCCGUGGUGACCGCCGGGAGGAGGACGCAAGACAGCGCAAAGGGCAGCUUCCGAGGCAGCUCAACGGAGAGCAUGAAGACCAGCGCGAGCCAAGCGAGCGACAGCAGCGACGACAGCCGCUGGAGCAACAACCGGGCGAUCCUCGCCGUCCGGGCCCGGGGCGGCGCGCUCGGGAUGAGCCACUUCAGGCUGCUGAGGCGGCUGGGGUGCGGCGACAUCGGCAGCGUGUACCUGUCGGAGCUGAGCGGGACGAGGUGCCACUUUGCGAUGAAGGUGAUGGACAAGGCGUCGCUGGCGAGCAGGAGGAAGCUGAGCAGGGCGCGGACGGAGAGGGAGAUCCUGCAGCUCCUGGACCACCCGUUCCUCCCCACCCUGUACACGCACUUCGAGACCGACCGCUUCUCGUGCCUGCUCAUGGAGUUCUGCCCCGGCGGCGACCUGCACGCGCUGCGGCAGCGGCAGCCGCGGAAGCACUUCUCCGAGUACGCGGCGAGGUUUUAUGCUGCGGAGGUGCUCCUGGCUCUGGAGUACCUGCACAUGCUGGGGGUGGUCUACCGGGACCUGAAGCCGGAGAACGUGCUGGUGCGCGACGACGGCCACAUCAUGCUCUCCGACUUCGACCUGUCGCUGCAGCAGUGCGCGGUGUCGCCGACGCUCGUCAGAGCUCCGGCGUGCGACUCCGACCCCAGGAGAGCAGGCGGCGCCUUCUGCGUGCGGCCCUCCGCCUGCAUGGAGCCCUCCGCGGCCUGCGUCCAGCCCGCGUGCUUCAUGCCCAGGCUGUUCGGCCAGAGGAGCAUGAGGCGGCGGCAGGGUUCCGAGCUCGGGCAGGGCGUGCCGGAGCUGGUGGCGGAGCCGACGGCGGCGCGGUCCAUGUCGUUCGUGGGGACGCACGAAUACCUGGCCCCGGAGAUCAUCAAGGGCGAGGGCCACGGCAGCGCCGUCGACUGGUGGACCCUGGGCGUCUUCCUGCACGAGCUGCUCUACGGCAGGACGCCCUUCAAGGGGUCGGGCAACCGCGCCACGCUCUUCAACGUCGUCGGCCAGCAGCUGCGCUUCCCGGAGUCGCCGUCCACGAGCUACGCCGCCAGGGACCUCGUCAGGGGCCUGCUGGUCAAGGAGCCGCAGCAGCGGCUCGGCGUCAAGCGGGGCGCCGCCGAGAUCAAGCAGCACCCCUUCUUCGAGGGCGUCAACUGGGCGCUCAUCCGGUGCAGCACGCCUCCCGAGGUGCCCAAGCACGUCGAGGCCGAGCCACCGGCCAAGUGCGGGCCGACCCACCAGCCUCCGGCGAGCAAGACGGUGAUCGGCGCCGCCGAGGUGAAGUCCGGCGGCAAGUUCCUCGACUUCGAGUUCUUUUAG